rnacentral:rRNA from 1 species
UACGUAGGGUGCAAGCGUUGUCCGGAAUUAUUGGGCGUAAAGAGCUCGUAGGCGGUUUGUCGCGUCGAAUGUGAAAACCCGGGGCUCAACCCCGGGCCUGCAUUCGAUACGGGCAGACUAGAGUUCGGUAGGGGAGUCUGGAAUUCCUGGUGUAGCGGUGAAAUGCGCAGAUAUCAGGAGGAACACCGGUGGCGAAGGCGGAACUCUGGGCCGAUACUGACGCUGAGGAGCGAAAGCGUGGGGAGCGAACAGG